rnacentral:rRNA from 1 species
AACGCUAGCUACAGGCUUAACACAUGCAAGUCGAGGGGCAGCAGGGAUUUAGCUUGCUAAAUCCGCUGGCGACCGGCGCACGGGUGAGUAACGCGUAUCCAACCUGCCCACCACUUGGGGAUAACCUUGCGAAAGUAAGACUAAUACCCAAUGAUAUCUCUAGAAGACAUCUGAAAGAGAUUAAAGAUUUAUCGGUGAUGGAUGGGGAUGCGUCUGAUUAGCUUGUUGGCGGGGUAACGGCCCACCAAGGCGACGAUCAGUAGGGGUUCUGAGAGGAAGGUCCCCCACAUUGGAACUGAGACACGGUCCAAACUCCUACGGGAGGCAGCAGUGAGGAAUAUUGGUCAAUGGACGAGAGUCUGAACCAGCCAAGUAGCGUGCAGGAAGACGGCCCUAUGGGUUGUAAACUGCUUUUAUAAGGGAAUAAAGUGAGUCUCGUGAGACUUUUUGCAUGUACCUUAUGAAUAAGGACCGGCUAAUUCCGUGCCAGCAGCCGCGGUAAUACGGAAGGUCCAGGCGUUAUCCGGAUUUAUUGGGUUUAAAGGGAGCGUAGGCCGGAGAUUAAGCGUGUUGUGAAAUGUAGAUGCUCAACAUCUGAACUGCAGCGCGAACUGGUUUCCUUGAGUACGCACAAAGUGGGCGGAAUUCGUGGUGUAGCGGUGAAAUGCUUAGAUAUCACGAAGAACUCCGAUUG